AGCGAACGCUGGCGGCAGGCUUAACACAUGCAAGUCGAACGGGCUUCUUCGGAAGUCAGUGGCAGACGGGUGAGUAACACGGGGGAACGUGCCCUUCGGUUCGGAAUAACUCAGGGAAACUUGAGCUAAUACCGGAUACGCCCUUUUGGGGAAAGGUUUACUGCCGAAGGAUCGGCCCGCGUCUGAUUGUCUUGUUGGUGGGGUAACGGCCUACCAAGGCGACGAUCAGUAUCUGGUCUGAGAGGAUGAUCAGCCACACUGGGGCUGAGACACGGCCCAGAAUCCUACGGGAGGGAGCAGUGGGGAAUAUUGGACAAUGGGCGCAAGCCUGAUCCAGCCAUGCCGCGUGAGUGAUGAAGGCCUUAGGGUUGUAAAGCUCUUUUGUCCGGGACGAUAAUGACGGUACCGGAAGAAUAAGCCCCGGCUAACUUCGUG
rnacentral:rRNA from 1 species